AAAUUGAAGAGUUUGAUCAUGGCUCAGAUUGAACGCUGGCGGCAGGCCUAACACAUGCAAGUCGAACGGUAACAGGAAGCAGCUUAGCUGCUUCGCUGACGAGUGGCGGACGGGUGUAGUAAUGUCUGGGAAACUGCCUGAUGGAGGGGAUAACUACUGGAAACGGUGGCUAAUACC
rnacentral:rRNA from 1 species